rnacentral:rRNA from 1 species
GAGUUUGAUUCUGGCUCAGGAUGAACGCUGGCGGCGUGCCUAAUACAUGCAAGUUGAACGGACUUGGAGGGUGCUUGCACCUAACAAGUUAGUAGCGAACGGGUGAGUAAUACAUAAGCAACCUACCUAUUAGCCUGGGAUAACUAUGGGAAACGAUAGCUAAUACCGGAUAGGUAACUUGAAGGCAUCUUUAAGUUAUUAAAGGUUAGAGACACUAAUAGAUGGGCUUAUGGCGUAUUAGUUAGUUGGUGAGGUAACGGCUCACCAAGACGAUGAUACGUAGCCGGCCUGAGAGGGUGAACGGCCACAUUGGGACUGAGACACGGCCCAGACUCCUACGGGAGGCAGCAGUAGGGAAUUUUCGGCAAUGGGCGCAAGCCUGACCGAGCAACGCCGCGUGAGUGAAGAAGGCCUUCGGGUUGUAAAGCUCUGUUAUAAAUUAAGAAUGGCUAUAAGGGACU